UAAACGGAUUCUUUUGAAUCUACAUAACACCUACAGGAAAGAGGGAG
rfam:Glossina morsitans morsitans, isolate Yale, WGS project CCAG01000000 data, contig: ctg10020472